AUAAUACUCCAUAGGUCACGAGAUCUGGAAAGACUUGUGGCUCAAAGUUCAGGCGCUCUAGGAUUGGUCUGCGGCCUAUCAGGUAGUAGUGGGUGUAACGGACCCACUAGCCGAUGACGGGUAUGGGCCUUGAGAGAGGGAGCCCAGAGAUGGAUUCUGAGACACGAAUCCAGGCCCUACGGGGCGCAGCAGUCGCGAAAACUUCACAAUGGAGGCAACUCCGAUGAGGGAAUUCCUAGUGCCAAUGCAUUUUGUGUUGGCUUUUCUUCAGCGUAGAUAACUGAUGGAAUAAGGGCUGGGUAAGACGGGUGCCAGCCGCCGCGGUAAUACCCGCAGCCCAAGUGGUGGUCGAUAUUAUUGAGUCUAAAACGUUCGUAGCCGGUUCAAUAAAUCUCUGGGUAAAUCGGAGGGCUCAACCUUCCGAAUUCCGGAGCGACUGUUGAACUUGGGACCGGGAGAGGCAAGAGGUACUUCUGGGGUAGGGGUAAAAUCCUGUAAUCCUAGAAGGACCACCGGUGGCGAAGGCGUCUUGCUAGAACGGAUCCGACGGUGAGGGACGAAGCCCUGGGUCGCAAACGGGAUUAGAUACCCCGGUAGUCCAGGGUGUAAACGCUGCAGACUUGGUGU
rnacentral:rRNA from 1 species